UAUAAUAUGGCGGAUGAGAUGUGUUUUGCCUCUUGUAGUCAGCAGGAUGAUCCCAUUCAUGACUCCUUAGCAUCCUUCCUAGCACCCUUGGGCACGAUGAAAGCUAGGUAGCAGGAAAACUUCAUUUAUUAACCACACGCAUCUAUCUGAUACAUUUUGUGGACGUUUCUGACAACUGGAUAAAAACUGCAGUCAUGAGGGAUAAGGAAGAAAAUGAGGCUCGAUGCCUCCUUGUAUGCUUGGUAAGGUAUGAGAAACAGAAGAAUGAUAGCUUUGAUGACAUCAUGACUGCUGCGGCAUUCACAGACAAUUUCAAAUAAGAUACGCUGAACCUGUAUUCCUGACCCUCUGAUAUCAUCAUUCUGCAGUCCGAGAAAGGCAGGAGAUUACCUGAUAAACCAAUAUUCCAGAUCUCUGUGAGUUUCAACUACUCUAGAUCUGGCCAAGCACUGAAUGUUUGGCAGUUUAUUCACACUAUAUCCUCAGACACAGAACACAAUUUUUGCCAGUUAAAAUUCAUUCUUGCUGUUGAAAUAAAAAUCCUAGAAAACAGGUGCCUCAGAGAC